CCUACGGGGGGCAGCAGUGGGGAAUAUUGGACAAUGGGGGCAACCCUGAUCCAGCAAUGCCGCGUGUGUGAAGAAGGUCUUAGGAUUGUAAAGCACUUUCGACGGGGAGGCGGUACCCGUAGAAGAAGCCCCGGCUAACUUCGUGCCAGCAGCCGCGGUAAUACGAAGGGGGCUAGCGUUGCUCGGAAUGACUGGGCGUAAAGGGCGCGUAGGCGGCUUGUACAGUCAGAUGUGAAAUUCCUGGGCUUAACCUGGGGGCUGCAUUUGAUACGUGCGGGCUAGAGUGUGAAAGAGGGUCGUGGAAUUCCCAGUGUAGAGGUGAAAUUCGUAGAUAUUGGGAAGAACACCGGUGGCGAAGGCGGCGACCUGGUUCAUACUGACGCUGAGGCGCGAAAGCGUGGGGAGCAAACAGGAUUAGAUACCCUUGUAGUC
rnacentral:rRNA from 1 species